AGGGAAACGUCGAUAAGGACUAGUACAGUUUAAAUGUCUUUAGCAGAGAGGAAAUGGUUGGUGCAAAUUUCCAAAGGCUUAAGCUGGAACCUACCUUGGAGUUCGCCAUCAGAUAAAGCGUUGCUUUUGAAGGUGUGCGCGGUUCAUAACCGUUAUCAAGAAGAGUGUGUAGUUCAAUAGUAAUCCACUGUAUGGGUGUUUUUGCUAUUGUACACUACAAACAAGGGUGGUACCACCAGACCUCGGUCCCUUUU
rnacentral:ncRNA from 1 species